rnacentral:rRNA from 1 species
UUGACGGGGCCCGCACAAGCGGUGGAGCAUGUGGUUUAAUCGGAUGCAACGCCGAGAACCUUACCAGGAUUUGACAUCCCCGGACCGCCUUAGAAAUAGGGUUUUCCAGGCUUCGGUCUGGACUGGGAGACAGGUGGUGCAUGGCUGUCGUCAGCUCGUGCCGUGAGGUGUUGGGUUAAGUCCCGCAACGAGCGCAACCCUUGUCGUCUGUUGCCAGCGGUUUGGCCGGGCACUCAGACGAGACCGCCGGAGUAAUCCGGAGGAAGAUGAGGACGACGUCAAGUCGGCAUGCCCCUUACAUCCUGGGCUACACACGUGCUACAAUGGCCGGUACAAAGAGCAGCGAAGCCGCGAGGUGGAGCGAAUCUCACAAAGCCGGUCUCAGUUCGGAUCGGGAGUCUGCAACUCGACCCCGUGAAGUCGGAAUCGCUAGUAACCGUGGGUCAGCAACACCGCGGUGAAUACGUUCCCGGGCCUU